rnacentral:rRNA from 1 species
CCUAACACAUGCAAGUCGAACGGUAACAGGAAGAAGUUUGCUUCUUUGCUGACGAGUGGCGGACGGGUGAGUAAUGUCUGGGAAACUGCCUGAUGGAGGGGGAUAACUACUGGAAACGGUAGCUAAUACCGCAUAACGUCGCAAGACCAAAGAGGGGGACCUUCGGGCCUCUUGCCAUCGGAUGUGCCCAGAUGGGAUUAGCUAGUAGGUGGGGUAACGGCUCACCUAGGCGACGAUCCCUAGCUGGUCUGAGAGGAUGACCAACCACACUGGAACUGAGACACGGUCCAGACUCCUACGGGAGGCAGCAGUGGGGAAUAUUGCACAAUGGGCGCAAGCCUGAUGCAGCCAUGCCGCGUGUAUGAAGAAGGCCUUCG